rnacentral:rRNA from 1 species
UACGGGGGGGGGUAAGCGUUGUUCGGAAUUACUGGGCGUAAAGGGCUCGUAGGCGGCCAACUAAGUCAUACGUGAAAUCCCUCAGCUUAACUGGGGAACUGCGUGUGAUACUGGAUGGCUUGGAUUUGGGAGAGGGAUGCGGAAUUCCAGGUGUAGCGGUGAAAUGCGUAGAUAUCUGGAGGAACACCGGUGGCGAAGGCGGCGAUCCUGGACCAAUAUUGACGCUGAGGAGCGAAAGCCAGGGGAGCAAACAGG